UACAGAGGGGGCAAGCGUUAUUCGGAAUUAUUGGGCGUAAAGGGCGCGUAGGCGGCCUGGCAAGUGGAAGGUGAAAUCCCUCGGCUUAACCGAGGAACUGCCUCCCAAACUGCUUGGCUUGAGACCGGGAGAGGUGAGUGGAAUUCCCAGUGUAGCGGUGAAAUGCGUAGAUAUCAGGAGGAACACCUGCGGUGUAGACAGCUUACUGGACCACUUCUGACGCUGAGACACGAAAGCGUGGGUAGCAAACAGG
rnacentral:rRNA from 1 species